rnacentral:rRNA from 1 species
UACAGGGGGGGCAAGCGUUGUUCGGAAUUACUGGGCGUAAAGGGCCAGUAGGCGGCCAACUAAGUCACACGUGAAAUCCCCAGGCUUAACCUGGGAACUGCGUGUGAUACUGGAUGGCUUGAAUUCGGGAGAGGGAUGUGGAAUUCCAGGUGUAGCGGUGAAAUGCGUAGAUAUCUGGAGGAACACCGGUGGCGAAGGCGGCAUCCUGGACCGGUAUUGACGCUGAGGCGCGAAAGCUAGGGGAGCAAACGGG